rnacentral:rRNA from 1 species
CCCUUAGAUGUUCUGGGCCGCACACGCGCUACACUGAAGGAGGCAGCGUGUACUCCUGGAUCGAAAGAUUUGGGUAACCCGCGAAUCUCCUUCGUGCUAGGGAUUGAGGUUUGCAAUUAUCCUUCAUGAACGAGGAAUUCCUAGUAAACGCAAGUCAUCAGCUUGCAUUGAUUACGUCCCUGCCCUUUUGUACACACCGCCCGUCGCACCUACCGAUUGAAUGGUCCGGUGAAAUCUCGGGACGGCGGCUCGGUCGCUUGCGUCCGACUGCUGAAACUUGAUUAAACCAUAUCAUUUAGAGGAAGGUGAAGUCGUANCA